rnacentral:rRNA from 1 species
CCUCCAGAGGUUUUUGGACUCUUGGUCCCGGAUGUUUGCGGCGGAGGGGUGAGUAACACGUGGGUAACCUGCCUGUAAGACUGGGAUAACUCCGGGAAACCGGAGCUAAUACCGGAUAGUUCCUUGAACCGCAUGGUUCAAGGAUGAAAGACGGUUUCGGCUGUCACUUACAGAUGGACCCGCGGCGCAUUAGCUAGUUGGUGGGGUAAUGGCUCACCAAGGCGACGAUGCGUAGCCGACCUGAGAGGGUGAUCGGCCACACUGGGACUGAGACACGGCCCAGACUCCUACGGGAGGCAGCAGUAGGGAAUCUUCCGCAAUGGACGAAAGUCUGACGGAGCAACGCCGCGUGAGUGAUGAAGGUUUUCGGAUCGUAAAGCUCUGUUGUUAGGGAAGAACAAGUGCGAGAGUAACUGCUCGCACCUUGACGGUACCUAACCAGAAAGCCACGGCUAACUACGUGCCAGCAGCCGCGGUAAUACGUAGGUGGCAAGCGUUGUCCGGAAUUAUUGGGCGUAAAGGGCUCGCAGGCGGUUUCUUAAGUCUGAUGUGAAAGCCCCCGGCUCAACCGGGGAGGGUCAUUGGAAACUGGGAAACUUGAGUGCAGAAGAGGAGAGUGGAAUUCCACGUGUAGCGGUGAAAUGCGUAGAGAUGUGGAGGAACACCAGUGGCGAAGGCGACUCUCUGGUC